AAAACUGACUGUCUAGUAUAAGCAAUUAUACAGCGAAACUGCGAAUGGCUCAUUAUAUAAGUUAUCGUUUAUUUGAUAGUACCUUACUACUUGGAUAACCGUGGUAAUUCUAGAGCUAAUACAUGCUAAAAAUCCCGACUUUGGAAGGGAUGUAUUUAUUAGAUUAAAAACCAAUGCCCUUCGGGGCUCUCUGGUGAUUCAUGAUAACUUCUCGAAUCGCAUGGCCUUGCGCCGGCGAUGGUUCAUUCAAAUUUCUUCCCUAUCAACUUUCGAUGUUUGGGUAUUGGCCAAACAUGGUUGCAACGGGUAACGGAGGGUUAGGGCUCGACCCCGGAGAAGGAGCCUGAGAAACGGCUACUACAUCCAAGGAAGGCAGCAGGCGCGCAAAUUACCCAAUCCCGACACGGGGAGGUAGUGACAAUAAAUACUGAUACAGGGCUCUUUUGGGUCUUGUAAUUGGAAUGAGUACAAUUUAAACCCCUUAACGAGGAACAAUUGGAGGGCAAGUCUGGUGCCAGCAGCCGCGGUAAUUCCAGCUCCAAUAGCGUAUAUUAAAGUUGUUGUGGUUAAAAAGCUCGUAGUUGAACCUUGGGCCUGGCUGGCCGGUCCGCCUCACCGCGUGUACUGGUCCGGCCGGGCCUUUCCCUCUGUGGAACCCCAUGCCCUUCACUGGGUGUGGCGGGGAAACAGGACUUUUACUUUGAAAAAAUUAGAGUGCUCCAGGCAGGCCUAUGCUCGAAUACAUUAGCAUGGAAUAAUAGAAUAGGACGUGUGGUUCUAUUUUGUUGGUUUCUAGGACCGCCGUAAUGAUUAAUAGGGACAGUCGGGGGCAUCAGUAUUCAAUUGUCAGAGGUGAAAUUCUUGGAUUUAUUGAAGACUAACUACUGCGAAAGCAUUUGCCAAGGAUGUUUUCAUUAAUCAGGAACGAAAGUUAGGGGAUCGAAGACGAUCAGAUACCGUCGUAGUCUUAACCAUAAACUAUGCCGACUAGGGAUCGGACG
rnacentral:rRNA from 1 species